AGUUGGAUGUCCUUUACAUGUUACUGGGGGCUAGCAAAGAAGAUAAGUUGCUGAGAAGUGCCAAAGGAGCCGUAGGAUAACCAGCAAAGAACUGUGGUGACUACACCCCUAUGGUCACCAAGGAUGAAGUGCCACAGUACAGGUGUACAGCUCACCAUGGCAGUCACGUCCCCUUUCCCUUCUCCUCCUGCUCCUCUCUCCCCUCUCCCCGGUGUGUAAUCCCACUGUAUGCCUUGAACAGGCUCUACUGCAUGUUGCACCCUUUGCUGAACCAGUUCAAAACACUAACCAAACAUUAUCGUCUUUUCCCUUUUUUUUUUUUCUUAUCUUGCAUAGCUGGAUCAGCCGUGGAGUAAAUCCAGCAUGUGUCACAGCUGAGUGACAAGUCUGGCUUCUAGGGCAGAUCGAGGUCCUUUGGUGUUGUCAUUGAUCUUCAGUCUCUCUUGGAUGGCCUUCAUCCAAGCUUCUGCAUUCUCCACGCUGCUGUCAAAUUCCUCCUGGAGCUGCUGAGUCAUCGCAUUUGAAGAAGCUGAAAGGAGAGGAAACAGGGAGGGCAGCCAGAUGCUGGCUGAAGCAAUCAGCUACAGCACCUGACUUUGGUUCUGGAACCCUUCCCAAGCACUAACAGCAUGGUUUAUACCUGCAAGGUAAAAGUAUGAUUUCUGACUUACUCUGUGCUUGGGAGGAAGAACAACUGCUUUCUAUUUGAGAUUUGGCAAGAUCUGUAACUCCUCUGCAAAUUCUUCUAAAGUUGGGACUAAUGAUUAGUGGACAAAAGUUAACCAUUCAACAGCAUUCAGCCCAUUUCUGUUGCAUCAUUGGAACCAGAAGAUUGAGCAAUACUUCUGGAGAUGAAA